rnacentral:rRNA from 1 species
CGCUGUGCAGCUGCAGUGCACCCGCGGCCAGACGGCAAGCCCCCGCGAACCUUUACUACAGCUUGGCACUGAACAUUGAGCCUUGAUGUGUAGGAUAGGUGGGAGGCUUUGAAGCGUGGACGCCAGUCUGCGUGGAGCCGACCUUGAAAUACCACCCUUUAAUGUUUGAUGUUCUAACCUGGCGCCAUAAUCGGGCGUGGGGACAGUGUCUGGUGGGUAGUUUGUUUGUGGUGGGGCGACCCCCGAGUGCUACAGUGGUGCAAUCGUCGGCAGUGUUAGUGGUGUAUAAGAGGGAGCGUAGAGAGAUGGGUUUUUGUCGUUUUGUUCGGGAGGUGCAAG